CUUUCUGAGGACCAGCCGCGUAGCAGUGAGGCAGAGACGAGGGGUUUAACCUCCCUUUUUCAAAGGAAAUAAAAACAAAGCCAUGACUUAACCUGGCCAUUGCAAGCAAACUAACCAUGGAUCACACAAAGUGUAUCACGGGACUAGGCAGAGUAAUGCCGCAUUAACCAGAAACGACAGGAACAAUUGCAGGAUUCAGCAGAGUAACAGGCAAGACCAGCAUCCCAAAAUUCAUUCUUUGCGAAUGAUAUAAACAUCCAUAGUGUACUUCUUGUUCUUCAGUAGCUUGAAGAGGCAGAUAUCUCCCAGCCUCAAAUUGUUCCCACACACAAACUGUCUCCACCCUUUCAAGAGCCUUUUAC
rnacentral:lncRNA from 1 species